UACGGAGGGUGCAAGCGUUAUCCGGAUUCACUGGGUUUAAAGGGUGCGUAGGAGGACAGGUAAGUCAGUGGUGAAAUCUCCGAGCUUAACUUGGAAACUGCCGUUGAUACUAUCUGCCUUGAAUAUUGUGGAGGUGAGCGGAAUAUGUCAUGUAGCGGUGAAAUGCUUAGAUAUGACAUAGAACACCAAUUGCGAAGGCAGCUCGCUACACAUAUAGUGACUCUGAGGCACGAAAGCGUGGGGAUCAAACAGG
rnacentral:rRNA from 1 species